AGUGAACGCUGGCGGUAGGCCUAACACAUGCAAGUCGAACGGCAGCACAGUAAGAGCUUGCUCUUACGGGUGGCGAGUGGCGGACGGGUGAGGAAUACAUCGGAAUCUACUUUUUCGUGGGGGAUAACGUAGGGAAACUUACGCUAAUACCGCAUACGACCUACGGGUGAAAGCAGGGGAUCUUCGGACCUUGCGCGAUUGAAUGAGCCGAUGUCGGAUUAGCUAGUUGGCGGGGUAAAGGCCCACCAAGGCGACGAUCCGUAGCUGGUCUGAGAGGAUGAUAAGCAACACUGGAACUGAGACACGGUCCAGACUCCUACGGGAGGAAGCAGUGGGGAAUAUUGGACAAUGGGCGCAAGCCUGAUCCAGCCAUACCGCGUGGGUGAAGAAGGCCUUCGGGUUGUAAAGCCCUUUUGUUGGGAAAGAAAAGCAGCAGGUUAAUACCCCGCUGUUCUGACGGUACCAAAAGAAUAAGCACCGGCUAACUUCGUG
rnacentral:rRNA from 1 species